rnacentral:rRNA from 1 species
CCUACGGGCGGCAGCAGUGGGGAAUAUUGGACAAUGGGCGAAAGCCUGAUCCAGCCAUGCCGCGUGUGUGAAGAAGGCCUUCGGGUUGUAAAGCACUUUCAGUGGGGAAGAAAGCCUUGAGGCUAAUACCCUCGAGGAAGGACAUCACCCACAGAAGAAGCACCGGCUAACUCCGUGCCAGCAGCCGCGGUAAUACGGAGGGUGCGAGCGUUAAUCGGAAUUACUGGGCGUAAAGCGCGCGUAGGCGGUCUGAUAAGCCGGUUGUGAAAGCCCCGGGCUCAACCUGGGAACGGCAUCCGGAACUGUCAGGCUAGAGUGCAGGAGAGGAAGGUAGAAUUCCCGGUGUAGCGGUGAAAUGCGUAGAGAUCGGGAGGAAUACCAGUGGCGAAGGCGGCCUUCUGGACUGACACUGACGCUGAGGUGCGAAAGCGUGGGUAGCAAACAGGAUUAGAUACCCCUGUAGUC